CUUCUUCAUCAUUGUACCAGGUUCCUCUCCUUGGUUUGUCAGAUGGAGAGUAAGGCGAGCUCUGAGAGGUAAAGACGAUGGGUCAAUCGUUUUCCAACGUAUCUGAUCGGCUCUUCCUUCUUUCUCAUCCUAAGUUUUGGAUUCUGAUUUUGGGGGAAGGAGAAGGAUUUGAUUUUUGGAGAGAAAGAGGGUUUCUGAGGAGAGAGAAGAAGG